rnacentral:rRNA from 1 species
CUUUACUGUAACUUGGAAUUGAAAUUGGACUUUAUUUGCGCAGUAUAGGUGGGAGGCGUUGAGAAUAUUCUUGCGGGAAUAUAGGAGCCAUCAGUGAGAUACCACUCUUGUAAUGUUAGAUUUCUAACUUUGAAUCAUUAUCUGGUCAAAGAACAGUUUCAGGCGGGCAGUUUGACUGGGGCGGUCGCCUCCUAAAUGGUAACGGAGGCGCACAAAGGUUUCCUCUGAACGGGUAGAAAUCGUAUCUAGAGUGUAAAGGCAUAAGGAAGCUUGACUGUGAGACCUACAAGUCGAGCAGGGACGAAAGUCGGUCUUAGUGAUCUGACGGUGCUGAGUGGAAAGGCCGUCACUCAACGGAUAAAAGUUA